GUGCUUGCAUCAUGAUUUACAUUUGAGUGAGUGGCGAACUGGUGAGUAACACGUGGGAAACCUGCCCAGAAGCGGGGGAUAACACCUGGAAACAGAUGCUAAUACCGCAUAACAACUUGGACCGCAUGGUCCGAGUUUGAAAGAUGGCUUCGGCUAUCACUUUUGGAUGGUCCCGCGGCGUAUUAGCUAGAUGGUGGGGUAACGGCUCACCAUGGCAAUGAUACGUAGCCGACCUGAGAGGGUAAUCGGCCACAUUGGGACUGAGACACGGCCCAAACUCCUACGGGAGGCAGCAGUAGGGAAUCUUCCACAAUGGACGAAAGUCUGAUGGAGCAACGCCGCGUGAGUGAAGAAGGGUUUCGGCUCGUAAAACUCUGUUGUUAAAGAAGAACAUAUCUGAGAGUAACUGUUCAGGUAUUGACGGUAUUUAACCAGAAAGCCACGGCUAACUACGUGCCAGCAGCCGCGGUAAUACGUAGGUGGCAAGCGUUGUCCGGAUUUAUUGGGCGUAAAGCGAGCGCAGGCGGUUUUUUAAGUCUGAUGUGAAAGCCUUCGGCUCAACCGAAGAAGUGCAUCGGAAACUGGGAAACUUGAGUGCAGAAGAGGACAGUGGAACUCCAUGUGUAGCGGUGAAAUGCGUAGAUAUAUGGAAGAACACCAGUGGCGAAGGCGGCUGUCUGGUCUGUAACUGACGCUGAGGCUCGAAAGUAUGGGUAGCAAACAGGAUUAGAUACCCUGGUAGUCCAUACCGUAAACGAUGAAUGCUAAGUGUUUGGAAGGGUUUCCGCCCUUUCAGUGCUGCAGCUAACGCAUUAAGCAUUCCGCCUGGGGGAGUACGGCCGCAAGGCUGAAACUCAAAGGAAUUGACGGGGGCCCGCACAAGCGGUGGAGCAUGUGGUUUAAUUCGAAGCUACGCGAAGAACCUUACCAGGUCUUGACAUACUAUGCAAAUCUAAGAGAUUAGACGUUCCCUUCGGGGACAUGGAUACAGGUGGUGCAUGGUUGUCGUCAGCUCUUGUCCUGAAAAUUUUGGGUUAAUUCCCCCAACGAGCCCAACCCUUAUUAUCAAUUGCCACCAUUAAAUUGGGCCUCCUGUUGAG
rnacentral:rRNA from 1 species